rnacentral:siRNA from 1 species
GGAAGUGAAAGUGAAAGUGAUGAU